CCUACGGGAGGCAGCAGUCGAGAAUCAUUCACAAUGGGGGAAACCCUGAUGGUGCGACGCCGCGUGGGGGAAUGAAGGUCGUCGGAUUGUAAACCCCUGUCAUGUGGGAGCAAAUUAAAAAGAUAGUACCACAAGAGGAAGAGACGGCUAACUCUGUGCCAGCAGCCGCGGUAAUACAGAGGUCUCAAGCGUUGUUCGGAAUCACUGGGCGUAAAGCGUGCGUAGGCUGUUUCGUAAGUCGUGUGUGAAAGGCGAGGGCUCAACCCGCGGACGGCAGAUGAUACUGCGAGACUAGAGUAAUGGAGGGGGAACCGGAAUUCUCGGUGUAGCAGUGAAAUGCGUAGAUAUCGAGAGGAACACUCGUGGCGAAGGCGGGUUCCUGGACAUUAACUGACGCUGAGGCACGAAGGCCAGGGGAGCGAAAGGGAUUAGAUACCCCAGUAGUC
rnacentral:rRNA from 1 species